CCUAUUUUUGCCUUCAGUAUGCAUCAUUCAAAGCGGCGUCAUCAAUUUCCAACACGUUCUGACAUCAUUUGCUGUUUUUCAGUCAUUUACCGAUUUGUUUAUGGAUCUAAAUGACGGUGAAAUUGAAAAUCACUACAAAAUGAACUCU